AGAGUUUGAUCCUGGCUCAGGAUGAACGCUGGCGGCGAGCUUAACACAUGCAAGUCGAACGAUCCUUCGGGAUAGUGGCGGACGGGUUAGUAACGCGUGGGAAUCUGCCCUCAGGAGGGGGAUAACGGCUGGAAACGGCCGCUAAUACCCCAUAUGCCGAGAGGUGAAAUGAAUUUCGCCUGAGGAUGAGCCCGCGUCUGAUUAGCUAGUUGGUGGGGUAAAGGCCUACCAAGGCAACGAUCAGUAGCUGGUCUGAGAGGAUGAUCAGCCACACUGGGACUGAGACACGGCCCAGACUCCUACGGGAGGCAGCAGUGGGGAAUUUUCCGCAAUGGGCGAAAGCCUGACGGAGCAACGCCGCGUGAGGGAUGAAGGCCUCUGGGCUGUAAACCUCUUUUCUCAAGGAAGAAGACCUGACGGUACUUGAGGAAUAAGCCACGGCUAAUUCCGUGCCAGCAGCCGCGGUAAUACGGGAGUGGCAAGCGUUAUCCGGAAUUAUUGGGCGUAAAGCGUCCGCAGGCGGCCUUGUAAGUCUGUUGUUAAAGCGUGGAGCUCAACUCCAUUUAAGCAAUGGAAACUACAAGGCUGGAGUGUGGUAGGGGCAGAGGGAAUUCCCGGUGUAGCGGUGAAAUGCGUAGAUAUCGGGAAGAACACCAGUGGCGAAGGCGCUCUGCUGGGCCAUAACUGACGCUCAUGGACGAAGGCCAGGGGAGCGAAAGGGAUUAGAUACCCCUGUAGUCCUGGCCGUAAACGAUGAACACUAGGUGUCGGGGGAAUCGACCCCCUCGGUGUCGUAGCCAACGCGUUAAGUGUUCCGCCUGGGGAGUACGCACGCAAGUGUGAAACUCAAAGGAAUUGACGGGGGCCCGCACAAGCGGUGGAGUAUGUGGUUUAAUUCGAUGCAACGCGAAGAACCUUACCAGGGUUUGACAUCCUGCGAACCCCUGAGAAAUCGGGGGGUGCCUUCGGGAGCGCAGAGACAGGUGGUGCAUGGCUGUCGUCAGCUCGUGUCGUGAGAUGUUGGGUUAAGUCCCGCAACGAGCGCAACCCACGUCUUUAGUUGCCAGCAUUCAGUUGGGCACUCUAGAGAGACCGCCGGUGAUAAACCGGAGGAAGGUGUGGAUGACGUCAAGUCAUCAUGCCCCUUACAUCCUGGGCUACACACGUACUACAAUGCUACGGACAAAGGGCAGCAAGCUCGCGAGAGUUAGCAAAUCCCAUAAACCGUGGCUCAGUUCAGAUCGUAGGCUGCAACUCGCCUACGUGAAGGAGGAAUCGCUAGUAAUCGCAGGUCAGCAUACUGCGGUGAAUACGUUCCCGGGCCUUGUACACACCGCCCGUCACACCAUGGAAGUUGGCCAUGCCCGAAGUCGUUACUCCAACCCUUGUGGAGGAGGACGCCGAAGGUGGGGCUGAUGACUGGGGUGAAGUCGUAACAAGGUA
rnacentral:rRNA from 1 species